CAGCCACCGAAGGGAGAGUAUUUUUGGAACUUGAGCUGCUUUCUAAGAAGUGCUGUAGAGCCAGAGGUCUCCUUUACCAGCUGGGUGGAAUGACUACUCUGCUGAGAUGAGCUCUUAAUUAAUGCACAGAGAUCCUGAAAGUCCCACCUCUCACCAGUAAUGAUUGACAUCCAAGGAUACAUAAAUUACACUAAUUGAGCUUUCUAUUUCUACAUUUUUCUGCAGCCAACUCAUCAGAAAAGCUCUGCAGCCUCAGAAGUGGCCAUGGAUUCGUCCCCUGCUGUGAAAUUUGGCUGCUGCCUGAGGCCCUGUGGAAAUCAUGUUUCUUGCUGUGCCCAACCACGUGCAAGCCUCCCUGCUGAGAAAAGGAAGGAAAUUCACUGAACUGCGUUCAUCUCUUUCUCUCACUGAGACAGAGAGAAAAGCAUCUGCAGAGCAGUAUUUCCUUCCAAAUUUUUUUCUUCUGAAGAGAGAAGUAGGAGGGCGUCAGUAUAUUCUUGAGGAUGUGCUGAUUGUCAGUGAAGAACUUGAUAUCAGGAGGACUGUCAUACUAGCAGGCACUACAAAUUCAAUAGUUACCAAUACAUUGAAGGGGGGGAGUAGGGGGGUGGAAGGAAGCCUUGAAUAUUCUUUGCUUCUCAAGAGAUGCCAAAAUCAGUGCAGGAGAAAAAAGGAGAGGUGUAAUGUGAACCAUAUGUAUUAUAUUGUUAUGACCUGCCAAAAUCAGUGGAACAAUAAUAAUCACAUGACUUUAUAGAUUUUACCUAUUAAAUCUCAUUUACUUGAUGCCUUUGCCCUUGCUUUUCACUUGGGAGACAAGGGUUCUGAGAGCCAGUGAAAUGUAAGGGACCAAUAUUCUGAGGAAAUACUUGGAAAAAUUUGGUGUUUAAAAUCACAAAUAAAUUAUACACUCAAAAAAAUUGUGCUGCAAAGAGCAUUUUAUGUGCUGUGGAGUUGAAGUCUUCAGAAAAUGACAAGCAAAUAAAAUAACUUUGUUUCCCCCUAAAUGCGUUCAAUCAAAGGUCUUGAUCAUGAAGACAAAGUGUGUUUCAGUUUAUUUGGUUCAGAGGCUGAAAUAACAGUGAACUUGGAAAGACAGCAAUAGUGUUAGGAGAGUAUAAGUGGGAAAUAUUCUUGAGAACACAACUGAUGGAGAGCAAAAGCAAUUUUGUUUAGCUUUGAUAUUACCCAUUAAAAACCUGGUAAGAGCUUGGCUUGCAUAAAUAGUGAGUGUGUGGAUGUUAGUAGACCUAUUAGAGUAUAUGAUGAUUUGAAUUAGUCAAAAGAAAGAUAAAACAUUGCUGAUAAUGCCAAUAAAAAUGCUUUAAUAAGCUAAGGAACGCUUUGUGCAUUCUGGCAAAGAUGUGCUUUUUUAUCCGUUCAGCUGUGCUGUAGAAGUAGGGAAAAACAAGCACAAGAGAAGACUGAAAAGAGCAUGACAGGAGUCUACAGCUGGAAAGUGAUCCUUCGCAAAUGAGGAGGCAACUUGUUAUGGAGGGAGAAAACAAGGUACUAUGGAGAUAGGCAUGAAAGAGAUGUGAGCUGAGAAUUAUCUCAGGCUGGAGGAAGGGGGUCACAAGAUGAGAAUGCAGAAGUCAAAGACGCUUCUCAGUGAUUUCAGUAAGGAGGAGGAUUGUCUUAGGAACGUUAUAAAGAAACAGAAUCAGGGACAAAAAUAAACUUGAGAUAUAGCUCUUACCAGAAAUUAGAGAGGAGAGCAAUGUAAUAAGGAGAACUGAGAAUGAAAAGAAAGGGAAGGAAUUCAGUUUUAGA